UGCCAGCAGCCGCGGUAAUACAGAGGUCCCAAGCGUUGUUCGGAUUCACUGGGCGUAAAGGGUGCGUAGGUGGCGAGGUAAGUUUGAUGUGAAAUCUCCGAGCUCAACUCGGAAACUGCAUUGGAUACUGCUUCGAUAGAGGAUUGGAGGGGGGACUGGAAUUCUCGGUGUAGCGGUGAAAUGCGUAGAUAUCGAGAGGAACACCAGUGGCGAAGGCGAGUCCCUGGACAACUCCUGACACUGAGGCACGAAAGCUAGGUUAGCAAACAGGAUUAGAUA
rnacentral:rRNA from 1 species